CACUCAUGGCUCAGGUCAGCUGACGUCCCUUCCUGUGCCCUUCCAUGGUGGGAGACCACCGCGGGAUGGACCUGUGCUCCUGACCAAGCCUGAAUUAUAAGAGAAUUCUUGUGCUUCUAAAGGCUUCUAAGGCAGAAAAGUAGACACAGGUUCUGAAAAUUCUGAUCUCAGAGUUCUGACUUUCCCAGGCAUGAAGCUCCCUUUGAGGCCCUCAGUUCCACUAGCAAAGCAUGGGGUGCUUCCCGGCCACCCUGCAAGCUGGGCUCCCAGCCACAUCAGCCCCAGAAACAGCAGAGACAACCAUAGAAGGCAACGCUUCUCCUCGGUGAGCCAUGUCCCCCAAGCCUGGCGCGAGGGGCGCUGAGGUUUACGCGGAGCGAUUGCUAGGCUGCCUCCCUUUCUCUGGGCCCAGGAGUUUCCCUCUGAUGCCUGCUGGGGGCUUAUCCGUGAGCAGGCCUGGCCAUGCCCACACACGGUACUGUGUUGGGAGUAAGGAAUGUGGAGUCAUCUCUUCCCUCAGAGAAACACUGACAAGUGUUAGCUCACAGACUUGUGUGCACAAAGAUGGAUCCUCGCAGUUGUCCACUGGAGCACUGUUUGAAGCAGCAAAAGGAACCAAGUCAACUUUCCCUGAGUACGAAAAUGGCUAAAUAAAUGGUAAUUUAUUCAUAGAAAAGAAUA
rnacentral:lncRNA from 1 species